UGAGUUAUGAAAGUAUAAUUAAAAACAAGUAAAAAAGGAACCAGUGACCUCACCAUCAACAAACAUCCUAAACAUCACUCAGCUACACCCUGAAUUGGUGGGAGUCUAGGCAACGGGCUCCCUAUAUAUCCCUUUGGAACGAAUUAAAUAAGAAAAAAAAUAAAUACUCAAAACUGCAGUUAACGGGGGACUCGACCCCGGGCAGUUGAGCACAACAAACACCCGCGCAGCACCAGACCAACUCAUGUUUUGUUAUUUAUUCCUUAACGUAUUUCUUUUAAACCUACAUUGAAACCGAGAAUCAGUUUCCUUCUUCUUCGCUAUAAACACAGCCAACUCAACCUGAUCGAUUGAAUCUGUUUUGCGACGUUUAAGUUUCAUUCAGGUCCUCUCAAACACGAAAUUUUGGUGUAAUAUGAAACACCCCUUUGAAACGUUCCGUUACUAAAGCAAUUAAUCAAAAUCAAAUCCAUUCAAGUCCACCAUUAAAGUUCUCAUGAACAUCAUUUGGGUUUACUCUAAUUCGUAAAACUUAACUUACAAAACUCACAUCAUUCGAUUCUUCUUCUAAUUCCACACAAAACUCCACUGAAAUUUAUCCAUUUCACCAACCACAUAACACGAAUUUGAUCGAAGAAUAUUGUAGGGCUUGUAACUUGUGCGGAUGAUAUCUCCUUCAAUUCUCAACCUUUUCAGGGUGUUUUAGUCAAUUGUUAUACCUCGUGUACUCGUGCGGUAAUUCUCGUGGAUUAACUCUUCACAACCUGUUUUCAAAGUUGAUGAUCAAGUGAUGUGGACACGUAGCAUGGGCCUUAGGAACUUAAAGGCAAAAUUGCACUUUUCGUCCUUUAUGUUUCAGGUUUUCUACAGGCGCUGUCCUUUAAGUUUAAAAAUUACACUCUAUGUCCUUUAUGUUUGCAACCUAUAACAGGCGGUGUCCUUUCUUGUCAACCCAGUUAACUUUUGAUGUUAAAACCCCUCACGUGCACGUCACGUGAGGGUAUAUUCGUCUUUUUCCCCAAAUAACAAGCAAUAUAAAUGCAUCUUCUCCGCUGAUGCGAUUGGCAAAAUUAGGGUUCCAACAAAACCCAAUUGUCUCCCCUGAUUCACAAAAUUAGGGUUCCAAAUCAUUCCAAAAAACCCAAUCGGGCCGUUCAUGAAAGUUGUGCAAUGAAAUUGAACUUACAAUGGUGCUUUGUUGGUGUGGAAAAGAAGUUGCAUUACAUACAUCUUGGACUGUUAGAAACCCAGGAAGGCGUUUCAUAUCUUGCCCUAAUCUGGGAAAUCAUUCCUGGACUCAUACGUGGAAGAAAUGUACUUGAAGAACAACUUCGUGGUCAGGUUGAAGAAGCCAGGAGGUUGAAGAAGUAUUUGAAGAUUGGCUGGGUUUUUUUUUGUGCUUGUUGUACUGUUUUUUAAGCGUUAAUGUAUGUUGGUUUUCUUUUGUGGUAGUUGUUGAAAUGAAUGCAAAUGUAAUCUGGUAUUAAUGUAAUGUAAUGGUAUCUGUUAAAAUGAA